CGUACCCCCCCAGGGCGAGGAUAGCCACGGGAAACUGUGGGUAAUUCGAUAAUCUUCUCGAUCAUCAUGAAUGGGAAGCAAUGGGUGUGAUUCCACCUGGGGAGGCUUACGCAGUAUCAGCUAGUUGGUGAGGUAACGGCUCACCAAGGCUUUGACGCUUAGGGUGUGAGAGCAUGGCCCCCACCACUGGCACUGAGACACUGGCCAGACACCUACGGGGCUGCAGUCGAGAAUCUUCGGCAAUGGACGAAAGUCUGACCGAGCGACGCCGCGUGCGAUGAAGGUCUUCGGAUUGUAAACCGCUGUCAGAGGGGAUGAAGUAUACGAGAGCUAUCUUGUAUUUGACAGAGCCUCAGAGGAAGCACGGGCUAAGUUCGUGCCAGCAGCCGCGGUUACGAACUGUGCGAACGUUAUUCGGAAUCACUGGGCUUAAAGGGUGCGUAGGUGGUUUUAAGUCACGUGUGAAAUCUUUUGGCUCAACCAGAAAACUGCGCGUGAUACUGGAGGACGAGUGAGGUAGGGGUGUGCGGAACUUCCGGUGGAGCGGUGAAAUGUGUAGAGAUCGGAGAACGCCAGCAGCGAAAGCGGCACACUGGGCCGUUUCUGACACUGAGGCACGAAAGCUGGGAGUGAACGGGAUUAGAUACCCCGGUAAUCCUAGCCGUAAACACUGAACACUGGAG
rnacentral:rRNA from 1 species